rnacentral:lncRNA from 13 species
UGCCGCCUCACCUGCUGCGCAUGUGGCAACGCUGCUGGCUAAUCACUAGUAUUUUUUUUUUAAUUUUGAACCUCCACUCUUCUCCCAAAGCAGUGCCUCAAGUUUAACCAAAAAGACAAGACUAAUAAAUUAAUAUAUGCGAAUGUGCUGACAGUGUUUGUAUAUUAAGAGAAAAGAAAGAACACACACUACCCUCCCCUCCCUGUGCCCCAAGAGCUGGACAUCGAUCCUGCUCCUGGCUGCGCCAAUCCCGCCGCUGCUCGCACACGGCGUGGCCGAGCCGGAUACCAGGAAAACAGUUCCCUGUUUGGAUCUAACCACUUAGCACUCUUUUGUAAUUAACCUGCCGGCUUCAGCCCCUGCAUCCCAAAGGAGGAGAUGACCUUGGCCCUGUGGUGCACCCCACUGCAGCCAAUGUGCCAGAGGAGGACAUCGCGGGCUCCUCGGCACUGGACGGCCAGACACACCACGCCAGCCCUGAAGCUGCUGCCUGGACCCCUUCCACGCGCUCUCAGUGCAGCGAGAAGGGGGCUCUGCACCCCAGCCCCCGAGCUGCCCCAUCUCCCUGCCUUGGCCUCCCGGCACGUCCCCACCACCACGCCGUGGAGCCGGUGCCCCGACCACAUCUUUUUCCAGUCCCAACAAAGACCUCCCAGUGCCGCUGGGCGAGCUCCUGAGCUGGGUCUCUGACAUCAGCAGGUCGUGGAUGGGCUCGAGGGGAGCCCCGGAGGCGGCAGCUGCUCGGCCGUGCUCACCAGCACAGUGUGGCUGGAUGUCCAUACCACCUCCCCUCAUCGCCGCCAUGGAGCCCGUCCCCCGCCCUGAGGCCGGUGGGACUGCACCUGAGGACACAGGGACAUCCUCCCUCACCCUUUGCACUUGCCAGAGUCCCCGGCCAGAGACUGGGGCCACAGUGCCCAAGCAGCCAAUGGCUCAAGAAGCAUCCACAGGGUCACCUGGCCCCCACCUGCCCCACACACUCCCUCCUCCCCGGGUAUGGCCUCCUGGUGUGGUGUCGGGCUCACUGCGGAUCUCCAAAACAUCUUCUCCUUCCCACCUGCUCUCAUCUGCCACCUGUAAAUCCAGUCAUGUUACCCUCUGCCUCUGGUGUCAUUAUUGCUCUCAUUACCCUGUUUGGCUUUGCAUGAGGUGCCACUGCGCGCGGCUCCAGGGCAGUCCCCACUCCUGGGGCCCUCCACACCCUGACCAUCGCUCAUCGGGACAGUGGGGGUCCAUCAGUUACCCAAACACAUCUCUUUUUUGGGGCAAAACACUGAACUUGUACAUACUGCGAAGUGUCUGUAAAAGGAGCAGUGUGGACCCAGGGCUCCCCUGCAAGGGCAGUAAAGGAGAAUCCUCUGAAACCAGCUGGCAGCUCUGCGUGGUCUGUUCGCCCCUUGGCCUUGCCACCGUGGCCGUGGGCUCCCAUUGCCUCCUGUGGGCUGCGUGUGCUGCUGCAGGUCGUGAUGAAGCAUGUCGGGGUGCCAAGGGUCUGACCAACUCCUGGUGCAGGUGCUGGGCCUGGGUGUACCCAUGGUGCUGCCAGGCACAGAGCAGGGCCACGGGGGUGUCCCCGGAGCUGCCCCGUGCUGGUGGCACAGCCGACACUGCCAGGAGGUCAAUGUGGGUGUAG